AUUGAACGCUGGCGGCAGGCCUAACACAUGCAAGUCGAGCGGAUGAAGGUGGCUUGCUACCUGAUUCAGCGGCGGACGGGUGAGUAAUGCCUAGGAAUCUGCCUGGUAGUGGGGGACAACGUUUCGGAAGGAACGCUAAUACCGCAUACGUCCUACGGGAGAAAGUGGGGGAUCUUCGGACCUCACGCUAUCAGAUGAGCCUAGGUACGAUUAGCUAGUUGGUGAGGUAAAGGCUCACCAAGGCGACGAUCGUUAACUGGUCUGAGAGGAUGAUCAGGCACACUGGAACUGAGACACGGUCCAGACUCCUACGGGAGGCAGCAGUGGGGAAUAUUGGACAAUGGGCGAAAGCCUGAUCCAGCCAUGCCGCGUGUGUGAAGAAGGUCUUCGGAUUGUAAAGCACUUUAAGUUGGGAGGAAGGGCAGUAAGUUAAUACCUUGCUGUUUUGACGUUACCGACAGAAUAAGCACCGGCUAACUUCGUGCCAGCAGCCACCGUAACAC
rnacentral:rRNA from 1 species